CAGUCGCCACGGUAAAACGAAGGGGGCUAGCGUUGUUCGGAUUUACUGGGCGUAAUGCGCACGUAGGCGGAUCGAUCAGUCAGGGGUGAAAUCCCAGAGCUCAACCCUGGAACUGCCUUUGAUACUGUCGAUCUGGAGUAUGGAAGAGGUGAGUGGAAUUCCGAGUGUAGAGGUGAAAUUCGUAGAUAUUCGGAGGAACACCAGUGGCGAAGGCGGCUCACUGGUCCAUUACUGACGCUGAGGUGCGAAAGCGUGGGGAGCAAACAGGAUUAGAUACCCCCGUAGUCCCUGUCUCUUAUAC
rnacentral:rRNA from 1 species